CUGCAAUACCGUCGCCGGCCAGCAGGGGUCGCUGUGUGGAGAGAGGAACAGAUAGAAAGUUACAUCAUCUCCCUCCCUGCCUCUCUCUACUCACUGAUCCGCGGGGGAGCAGCUCUGAACAUAGAUUCCAGUCAGCAGCUCAGGUAAGUGAGGGAGACCAGUGUGAGCACAGGCUGCAGGGAGACACUGAGAGACAUGGGACUGUGUGAGACAUGAGACACUGAGAUAC